rnacentral:rRNA from 1 species
CCUACGGGUGGCUGCAGUGAGGAAUAUUGGUCAAUGGACGCAAGACUGAACCAGCCAUGCCGCGUGCAGGAAGACGGCCCUAUGAGUUGUAAACUGCUUUUGUACGGGGAUAAAAUCAGAUACGCGUAUCUGUCUGAAAGUAUCGUACGAAUAAGGAUCGGCUAACUCCGUGCCAGCAGCCGCGGUAAUACGGAGGGUUCAAGCGUUAUCCGGAUUUAUUGGGUUUAAAGGGUGCGUAGGCGGUCGGAUAAGUUAGAGGUGAAAUGCCGAGGCUCAACGUAGGAAUUGCCGCUGAGACUGGUCGGCUAGAGAGUAGGUGCGGUAGGCGGAAUGUAUGGUGUAGCGGUGAAAUGCUUAGAGAUCAUACAGAACACCGAUUGCGAAGGCAGCUUACCACGCUACUUCUGACGUUGAGGCACGAAAGCGUGGGGAGCAAACAGGAUUAGAUACCCGGGUAGUC